rnacentral:rRNA from 1 species
GACGAACGCUGGCGGCGUGCUUAACACAUGCAAGUCGAACGGAAAGGCCCUGCUUUUGUGGGGUGCUCGAGUGGCGAACGGGUGAGUAACACGUGAGUAACCUGCCCUUGACUUUGGGAUAACUUCAGGAAACUGGGGCUAAUACCGGAUAGGAGCUCCUGCUGCAUGGUGGGGGUUGGAAAGUUUCGGCGGUUGGGGAUGGACUCGCGGCUUAUCAGCUUGUUGGUGGGGUAGUGGCUUACCAAGGCUUUGACGGGUAGCCGGCCUGAGAGGGUGACCGGCCACAUUGGGACUGAGAUACGGCCCAGACUCCUACGGGAGGCAGCAGUGGGGAAUAUUGCACAAUGGGCGGAAGCCUGAUGCAGCAACGCCGCGUGCGGGAUGACGGCCUUCGGGUUGUAAACGGCUUUCGCCUGUGACGAAGCGUGAGUGACGGUAAUGGGUAAAGAAGCACCGGCUAACUACGUG